rnacentral:rRNA from 1 species
UCGGGAAUAUUGCGCAAUGGAGGAAACUCUGACGCAGUGACGCCGCGUAUGGGAAGAAGGUUUUCGGAUUGUAAACCAUUUUAGACAAGGAAGAAAGAAGACAGUACUUGUAGAAUAAGCUCCGGCUAACUACGUG